CGCUGGCUAGAGGAACCGCCAUUUCAGAUCGUAAAAUUCAAAAAUAUGUCGCGAGGAACAAGCGCUGAAUGCGAUCGACAUAUCUAAUAUUUUUUCUCCCGAAGGGCGACUUUAUCAAGUUGGUAAGUGCUUCAUUAUGUGCUUGACUACGUUAUAAACAUGUUUUGUAAAGUUUUACACUUGUUUCUAUUCGCAGAAUAUGCGUUUAAUUAAAGCUAUUAAUCAAGGGGACUCACACGUGUUUGGGUUCGCGAGCUGACUCAGCAGUUGUAGUGACACAGAAAAAAGUGCCGUUAAGAUUUUGUAAAUUAUAUUUUGUUUGCUUUGGGAGUUAUAUAGUACUACAGUUGGCAAGUAUUUAUUGUUUGUUGCAGUUGUUGGGUGUUCAUGAGGAAUCAAGAAUGGGCAUUGAACCAGUGGCGCCAUGGGACCCGAGAUGGGACCCAUGUUUUUGGGGGGGCCAAGGGCAGUACUACAAAAAAUUUUUCUGGACAGCAACAUUUUAAAUCUUCAAGCCCCCCCCCCCCAUUGACAACUUUGACAAUUUCCGACAACAUCGACAAUUUUCCGACAGGUCUCAACAAUUAGGGGGGCCAUGGCUCCCUUGGCCCCCUCUGGCACGGCGUCACUGUAUUGAACUAUAAGUAAACUGGAACCAUAAGUUGGUCGCCAUCUUUGAAGCUGGUUAUGAGUCAAUCUCGUUCCCAGAGUAUGCCUGUUCGCGGGUUAUGUUGUGGCAUGACUCUGUGGAAGUCCAAAAUGAGAUAAAUGGCGCAUGCGCUUUUAUGCUUUUGUUUAUUCUGCUUACUAAAUUCGCGCGGGCACACGCUCACAAUCGAUAUAUUUGUUUGAACAAAUUCUCAUAUAUAGUAUACAAAAUAUUUUUUAUACGUGCUUCAAAUCACACUACUAUUAAAUUAUAUUCAAUGGCAAAUAUUGAAAGAGCUAGUAAUAAUUAAAGCUGCUCUAGGGAAAAGAGAGCUUGAAUUUUCAUUAAAAGAUGAGACAUUCAAAUGUAUCUCGGCCAUUGUAAAAUGAUGAAGAUGUUUUGGUCAUUUUGCCAACAGGUUAUGGGCUUAUUAUGGCAAAUAUUAAAAUAUUUCAGCUGCUACCUGAUGUGUACAACAUGUUACUUGGCGUAUUAAACCAAUUAUAUUGUGAUAGUCAUAUAUCUCCACUAAAUGCACUGACUGAUGCAAGAUCAAGUGGCUAAAAUGAAUGACCAAGGCAUUUCUGCAUGCAUAAUACAAGGCCAUUCUGUGCUACACUAUACUAUCAUGGUGAUGGCAGCAAUAUCAAAUUACCAUUGGAUCGACAUGAGAAUCCAACGUAUAAGCUGUUCUAUAUGCACCCAGAAAUGUGUGUCUAUGACAAGAAAAUACAAGCUUUUUUCAACUGUAUGAUGUAAACCUCUGAAUAUAACGUUCACCUCAUUCCAAAUAUAAGCCCCCCACCCUGAAUAUAAGUCCCCUGAAUAUAAGCCCACUAUGUUAUUCAACAUUGACAUUGUCUUUUAAAAUAGCAGAGAAUGAUAUUUUAAAACAUUGUCAUUAUCAAUUGGCAUCCUAGAUGUUUGCAAAAUAAAUUUUUAUUUAACUGCUAUGUUUAUGUUUCAUUACCACCAUCUUAAGAAUCUAUCAGAAGUUUUUGAAAAUUAUUUUUUGUAACAAAUAAUCAGAUCCAUCAAUACAACACAAGAAAUGCAUCAAAAUUAAACUCUGUAAGUGUUAUAAGAGAACAAACUAUGUAAAACACAGUCUAUCUAAUAAAGGAAUUGAUAUUUAGAAUUCAUUAGAACCAAAAUGUAAAGGCACAAACUCCUAUAAUGUCUUCAAGAAAGAAAUGAAACAGUAUUUUUUACUGAAUCCUGUAUAAAAUUAUACGGUCUUCAUUUUUUAUUGAUAUUUUAACAUAAAUAUUUUAUUGUAGUACUCCUGCUUUAUCUAUCCUUCUUAAAUUGUAAAUAGCAUAUAUUCUAAUUUUUUCAUUAUCUUUAACUGUAAAUAUAUUAAUUAACCUGAUUAUGAACCACAACUACAACUAGGGGCCUAAACCAAAAAGCCUGUAAAGGUUUCUAGUAGGUCCCUAGCCCAAAUCAUUAAAAGAAAAUAUUUGUAGUUAUUAAAAUCUGUACAUAUAGGGAAAAAGGGGUUAUAGUCAGAGGUUUACAGUAUUAUAAUAUAUCACAUAUUUUAAUAAUAAACACAUUUAUUUAUUUUUUUAUAUGAUAUUACAUUAACAUAUAUAGAUGGAGCACAUAUAAAGUCUUUAAAUGACAGUACACUUUUUUUUUUAAUUAUAAUUACUCGUGUAAUUACAAAGUAAAAAAUGAAAUGAACAAGGCCAUAUAUAUUUGUUGAAAGUUUGUUGCAGUGGAUAUCUCCCAUUUGUUUUUCACACUGUGUAUCUUUGAGCAUUUAAUCAGCAACUAAUUAUAGGCAAGGAUGUAUUUACUAGCUUAUUACUCUAUAUUACCAGGUACAUCAACCUUGCAAUCCACACUUUAACCCCUGCAGUUGCCCCCUCUCAUGCGGCUGCAGCUUGUUUGGGAAGGGAGAGGAAUGAAUGGAGGUACUGUAGUUUCUAUAUUUAGCCUCCCUCUCUUUAAGCCCCUUUCCAAUACCCCCUCUCAUUUGGAUACAAAAAUCAAAAAUAAAUAACCCCCCUCUUUUAACCAUGCAGCCCCCAUUCAAUUAACUCUUCAAAUCGUGGAUUAUAUUGCAUUUCUGCAGUAUUUUAAUAAAAUAUAGUACAACGGCAAUUCUGGAUAUGGACAUUUUUUAAUGGUAAGCAGAUUUAUUGCAUAUAUUUAGAACAAGUGCUCCCUCAAUGAUGCUUGGGGGAAAAUAACACCCAGGAGGCUUGAUACAGAAAUUAAAGUAGUUAUUUGAUUGAAACUGGUAGCUAUUUAAAUUCACCACUUUUUUAUCCAGACACAAAUGUCCCAGUAACUGCUACCUUGAUGCAAAAAUUAUUUCAGGUUUGGAUAUGUAGAUAGUACUAGUAGGUAUUGAGUAUAGGCUGUGGAUCGUGAUUUAAGAGAAUUAUUUAUAAAGUUUGGACAUGCAAACGUUCACAAUUGUAUAUAUCUACUAUAUAUGUAAAUGUAACUAAUCUGACAGUGUAACCAGGUGUGUAACAAGUUGUUUGAAAAAUGUAUAUAUGCAUGUGUAACAUCAAGUAAGUUGGGCAGCGUAAAUAUUGGGUAUUCUAUUAUAUGUAUUUGAAAGGCUUAGGCCGGAAGGUUAUAAUUUUGUUUUACAUUUAUAUACAGUGGAAUAGUAAUGUGUAUGCACUCACUUGAAUCACGGCUUGAAUGGACCUUGGUUACGUGUUCGCCUUUUAGUAAGUAAAACGGAGAUUAUUUUCAUUAUAAAAAAAAACGUUAAAAAAAAGUUAAAAUUAAAGUGUGAAAAUGACAGCAAGUGAAUGUCAUGUAAUAGCCUAAUAGUAUUUAAAUAAUAUUAAAAAUUCAAGGAUAAUUCAAUGAAAUUUAAUUAAAUGAUAUUUAAUUCUAAUAAUAUUUUAAUAAAUUAAAUUCGAUGAUAUUUAAUUCUAAUAAUAUUUUAUUUCAGUGGCAGUGUUAGGGCAGUUACAUACAGCAGCACAAAACCUAAGCCGCUCUUUUACAAUAUUUCCAAAAGUCAUCGAUCCUCGCGCGCGCGAGGGAGCUCCUUAAGAAUUUGCUUUUUAGCAAGUCCAAAAACAUUGCUUUGGAGCAAAAACUUAUAAUAAAGUCGUCUAAGAGUAUCAGGAACUUGGAUUUGUGAAUUUUUGGAGAUUUUGAUUCAAGAAAGCGUCGUUUGGAGUGGUUUUUUGCAUCGAAAGUCAGGGGAUUUUUGUCUUAGCAUUUUACGCGAGUUGAACGUUUGCUUACGCCACACGUCAUCGUCAUCAACGGUCAUCGCAAACACGCAAUUAAAUCCGUACGUAAUCAAAUUGAAUAAAUCAAAACAAUCGGAAUAAAUUACGCGAGUGUAAGCUUUGAAUUCAGAAAUGGUUCCAAAAUUCACUUCAGAUGGGACGAAAAAUCUAGCAAAGAUUGGACGCUUCAUAACUAAUAUAUUACUUCUUUUUUCAAUUUUGAAACUGUGUGUGAAAGUUAAUCGAAAUGCUAAUAACACCCAAAUUACACCAGAAAACAUUUUAAUCUGCUCCGAACUUGUUUCUCUGCCUGAAAAACUAUACUAUGUUUGUGUAUCCACCCGUGACGUUGUUUUCAGAAAAUAUAACUUACCAUGCAAUAACCAGCAUCGCUACGGCUUAAACUUACAAAUUAACCGUAAGAUCUCACAUGCGUCUAUAUUGCUCUUGCUUGCCGGAGAUAUCGCAACGAAUCCUGGACCUUACAAACACACGGAUCGUGUAAAUCGGUUCAUAAAAUGUCUUGCACUCAAUGCUCGAAGUCUGAUGAGUUUACAUAAAACCAACAUCGGAAACAGCUUAACAGAUACCAACAUUGAACGCUUCCAGAACUUGGUCUAUUCCGAAAACCCCGACAUUGUUUGUGUCAACGAAACGUCGCUUAACGAGGAUAUUAAAAACUCGGAAAUUCUGCAUUCGGGAUACGACAUAUUCAGAAAGGAUCGCGAAUCUCGUGGUGGUGGAGUACUGUUAGCGAUAAAGAUUUCGUCAUUCAAAUCAGUGCGGGAAAUUCAACAUGGUCAUGAUUUGGAGAUCGCCGUGGCUGAAAUAACAACCACUUCAAACGCAAGUUUAUUAAUUUGUUCUUGUUAUCGUCCAUCAAACUCAGAUCAUAGUUGGUUGGACAAGUUCAAUAACUUUAUGGGUGAUGUUUGUUUGGGACACUCAAACAUUGUGCUUGCAGGAGAUUUCAAUAUGCCACAUGUAUCAUGGGAUUCGCCAGAGAAAACAUCAGGUGGUAACGAAAAUACCUUCGUAGAACUGCUCCAUGACCAUUUCUUGGAACAACUAAACACCGCGCCUACUAGAGGUAACAACACGUUAGAUCUCGUUCUUACCAAUAUUCCCAACAAAGUCAAAAUAUGUGAAAUUUUGUCUCCAACUCAAGCAGAACUUUUCACUGAUCACAACAUUAUUGUGUUUGAACUUUCAUUGUGUCAUAAUCAACUGCCAAAGAUACGCAGAACUGUCUAUAAUUACCGUCAAGGUGAUUUUGCUGGCUUACGAACUUCCCUUGAAUGUCUAAAUCUGGAUUCCCUGAUUACAACUGACGACAAUAUCAACCACGACUGGCAACAAUGGAAGAACGCGUUCCUAGAAGCAGUAUCCCAACAUAUACCAUUUACGAGAGUAGAGGGUCGAAACUAUGUUCCGUGGAUGAAUUCUACAAUUCUACACAACAUCAAGAAGAAAAACUCUCUCCGCCUCAGAAUUAAGAAAUCCCAUACACCAACUGAAUAUCUCGUUGAAAAGCUCAAAACCCUUCGUAGUUCCAUCAAGCGCAUGUUACGUAACAGUCGCUCCAAAUAUUUCGACUCUAUUUGUUCCAGCCGUGGGCUUAAUCCCAAACGCUUCUGGUCCCUGUUCAAGCUCAAUAAUAAGACCCGGAACAUUCCUCAAAAGCUCUCGGUGAAAGUAACUGAAACCAAAAGAGCAUUCGCGGGAAAUCCAGCAGAUAUUGCCACCCUCUUCAACAACUACUUCACAUCUAUAUUUACCACUGAUCCAACUAUCGAAAACUGCAGCCCUGAAGCUCUUCCAUAUCAGUUUAACAAUACUAUCAUCGAGGACAUUACCCUUUCGGAAGCCGACGUUUUCUCCGUAUUGCAUAAUCUCGACAUUAAUAAAGCUCAAGGUCCAGAUGGGAUUCCUGCACGUUUGUUAAAAGAAACAGCUCGCCAAAUUUCUCCGUCACUAACUGUCUUGUUUAAUAAAUCUCUGAGCACUGGCGUGUUACCACACGACUGGAAACUAGCAAACGUUGUUCCCGUCCACAAAAAAGACAACAAAGAGCACGUAGAAAACUAUCGACCGAUUUCGCUUCUUUCGCUUAUCUCGAAAGCAUUGGAAAGAUGCGUGUUCAAUAAGAUCAAAGACCACGUUUUCGAACAGAUUAACAACGGUCAACAUGGCUUUGUUCCUCGGAAGUCCUGUGUUACACAGCUCAUUGAAGUCUUUGAGUAUAUUGGUCGUGAGCUGGAUCUUGGGAAACAAGUUGAUGUGAUCUACUUGGAUAUGUCCAAGGCGUUUGAUCGAGUAAGCCACAUGCAACUGUUGAAACGACUUCGUGAUUUUGGAUUCGGUGGAAAUAUUUUAAAGUGGUUUAGAUCUUACCUCAAGGACCGUCGGCAGCAGACUACAGUACUUGGUGCAACAUCAUCAGCACUACCAGUAACCUCCGGAGUUCCACAAGGCUCAAUCCUUGGACCGCUACUGUUCCUAUUAUAUCAGAAUAAUCUCCCCAACUCCAUCAACCACUCGAAGAUCGCGACGUUUGCUGACGACACAAAGAUUUACAAGGUGAUAAACGCGAAGGCUGAUGCAUCCGCUAUGGAGAAUGAUCUUGCGAACUUCCAAACUUCCUGUGCCAAUGCUAAUCUUCUCCUCAACACAGAUAAAUGUAAGACACUUCGAAUUACUAGAAAACGCAACAAAAUCGACCAUACAUACAAAUUGCACGAUUCCGCUCUGAAAACCACAGAUUGCGAACGUGACCUUGGCGUCUGGAGCUCCUCCACCCUCACAUGGUCCAAACAAGUCCUCCACCAGUGCACCCAAGCCAACAAAUCCCUCGGGUAUAUUCGACGGUCCACGAUCAAAUUCAAGACCAUCUCUGUUCGUCGGACUCUAUAUCUUACCCUCGUUCGUUCCCACCUCGCAUACGCGUCCCAAGUCUGGGCUCCACAAACUGUUGAUCUCAUUAAGCGUACAGAACGCGUUCAAAGACGUGCGUCAAAAUACAUAUUGAACCUACCCUUCUUCUGUGACAUCAGCUAUAACCACCGUCUCGCAACAUUGAAUCUACUACCUUUGUGUUACUGGCAUGAGUACCUAGACAUAUUGUUCCUUUUCAAAUCACAUCAUGACAUUAUUAACCUAAGCAGCGACAUACUACCAUACCCUCAAAAUUCAAGUCAACGUACCCGUUCUACAAAUCCUGACUGCCUACAAUUUCAGACUUCAGCAUGUAAAACAUCUACCUAUCAAAAAUCCUAUCUAAUAAGGACUACUAGAGUCUGGAACACACUGCCAAGGGAUUUAGUUACUAUUAAUGGCAUGGCAACCUUAAAGGAGUUUAAAAGUAAGUUGUAUAUCUAUUAUAAAACAGCAUUAGAUAAAUGUUAUGACGUUGACGAUCCACGAACAUGGAAAACGGUUUGCUUAAAAUGCAAUCAAGCUCGCGACCUUACAAGGCCGAUAACGUGUUGUUUUUAUAUUUUAGUAGUUUUCAGAAGUAGCUUUUCGCAUUGGUAUCUAUGGGCCUAUCCAGGGUUUUGCUGAAGGUUUAGGAUUGUGAGGGUUAAACGUCUUCCGAUUCAGUCAGCUUCCGAAACUAGAAGUGGUCAUGCGGGUCGCAAUGUGUAAAGUUGAAUCUGAUAUAGUUCGUUAAUAAUUGAUUUUUCUAUGUACGUAUAUAGUGUAUUUGUCUAACAUUUAGGGAUCGCAGUAAUUGGCGCAAGCUGUUGCGAUUGCCCUGCCAGUUUUUGUGUUAACGUUAAUUGUUUGAAUCUGGCAAAGUUAAUAAAUUAAAUUAAAAUUAAAUUAAAGUUUCACGCGAAAGACGGCCAUACGUGUUGAAUAUUGAUUAAAAAAUUGGUGAAAACAUAUUCAUUUCACAGAUCUAAGGCUGGUAUACUUUAAUUUAGGGUUUUAUAAUUAGUUGCGGUACUAAUCAUCCUCCUCAAUCCCCCCCGUCGCCAAAACAAUUUCAGUGUACCAUUUUAGGGGUCCAAAAAUUUUUCGGACAUACCUAAAUUUUCCGGAACAUUCAACAAAUUUUCCCCAAAAUCGAAAAAUUGGCAUAAUUUCCCACAAAUUUGUCCCAUUUAUUUUUAUAAUAACCAAAUAUUGCCCGACUGUGAAGCGAAUACUGACAUUUUGUUUAGUUGUUAAUUGAAUUUUGCCAGCCCACCUCCGGUCAUAAAUAAUUAUAUAUUUUUACAUAUAUAUAUUCUUACAUGUAAUAUUUUUUGAAUUAUUUCGUUAUUAAAUAUUAUAACGGUUACAGUAAAUAUUUCGUAUAAAAUAUUCAAAAUAUAUAGACCAAUUAUAGGUCGACACGGUUUGUUGCGCGGUGCACAUGGUAUUUGCUAUUGCUGUCAGUGCUCUCACUUUUAAGGAAUUAUCCUUAAAAAUAGGAAUUUUGAAGAGUUUUAAGGAUUUUUUUAAGGAAUUUAGGUUUUUGAGGAUUUUUUUAAGGAAUUUCCGAAACAUUUUAUCCUGGACGGAGAAUAACCACGCCACGCAAAUGAGAUUUAAACUUGAAACACACUAUAUGCACAUAAUUACAUAUAUUCGUAUGUUCUCUAUGUCGUAUAAAAUCUACAUAUGGCUGUCUUUCCAUUAAAAUUCUCAAAAGUUAAAUGUCAGUGUAUGCUGUUUCUUCUGAAAUCUACAGAUUUUCUAAGUUCUCAGGGCCGUAGCGACCGGGGGAGGGAGGGUGCAACACCCCUAAUAUUGCUCAUGAACAAUUUCAGGUAGAUUUCCUGUAGAUUUUCAGGUAAAUUCAGGUAAUUCUCAGGGCAUAAAAAAGUGAACUCUAUAAUCUGAAUUAGAGUUAACAAUCAAACGUACUAAAUACGUUGAGACUUGUUGUGGUAGGGGGCAAUUGCGAAAUACCCUUUCUGACGAUCUGGAGACUCCAAAUUUCCAAAAUUUUCUCAAUUUCCUAUUAAACUGAAAGUAGCAAUACUUAUCUUCAUUGUUAGGCAAUACUAGUAAAAUAUUGGGUAGGAAAGACUCUAAAAAUGCCAUUUCCGACGGUCUAGAGACUUCAAAUUUUCAAAAAUACGGUUUUAAAAAACGUUCAAUCUGAAAAAUUCUGAAAAAAAACACUUUUUGCAACUAUGUGAUCAGGCCUUGUAGUAAUUUUACCAUUUUAAGGAAAUCUGAGGAAUUUUCGAGUUUUUUCUAAGGAAUUCGAAAAUUUGACUGUGAGAGCACUGAUUGCUGUAUUGCAUCAGCCCUGAUAGCAAUUGCACAAGCCAUUGCGUGCACGACGGAAGUUGGAAGUGUUGAACUGCUUUAUACUAUUUUAAUAUCAGGUUAAUUUAAAAGAAGUACAUUGAAAUCAGGUAAAACGUUAUUUCACUCCUAUCCUACUGUUUAUAGUGUAGUAGUGGCAUCUUAGCCUUUCUUUAUAUGUGAUAUGAAACUCCGUUAGUCCGAUGGAAUUAAGGUAUCAGUUUACCGUCGCCUAAAAUUUCAAAAGUUGAUGCGGAUUUUUUUCAUUAUUCAUUAUUUUUCACGAUUUGAAUUUGUCAAAUUUUGAGCUAAAAAUCCGAAUUUCGACCGAAAAAGUUCCAAGAAAAUUUUGACGAUUCUUGAGCUUUUUGCUAGCUUCCGAGCUAUCAGCUGUCUUUGACUCUACGUUUCGCUUGGCUGACUAUAAACUGUAUAAACAAAGUCAAUGACAGUGUUCCAAUAAUUUCAACAGAAAGCCAUUUUUGAAACACUUGCUAUACAAGUUUUACAAAUAAUGAAAAAUAUUGAAAUAAUGAAAAUUUCACGCGGGCUGCCAAUAACACACGGUAAACUGAUACGCCAAUCCCAUCGUGUGUACUGUGUAAGACACGUGUACAAUGUCUUGCUUCGUUGCCAGGCUGUUGUGUAUGUUGCUGAUUUAUGUUGUUUCUCGGACUCAUUUCUAAGUUGGAAGUAUUGCAUGCUAUCAAGGCUAGCCUAUAAAAAAGUAUAAUGAUUAAAUGUAAAUAUUAAGCAAGGGUUUUACCCUGCAAGCAAAGCCUGAUUUCUUCCGGGAAAGUGAAGGGCAGUAGAAAGUUUAAGCUUCGCUUUAUACGACAAACGGCAGGCAAAUAAAAAUUUUACGGUAUCAGGCAAUAAAGUGUAAAUGAACUUGCUGUUUUAAAACACGAAAUACAUAAUUAUUCUUUCGACACAAGAAACGUUCAACGAAAACGUUCAACAAAAAUUUUGCCAAGAAAAUUCGAACCUGCCUUUUGCCGUUCCCGGAAAUGUGAAGCUUAAACUCCCUAAUGCUUCUACAAACACAUUCAAAAGUAGGUACGCGACGCGUACAUGUAUCUACGAAAAAACUUGAUUCACAUUUUGUAUUUUCUUGAAAAGGAACUGAAUAAUGAAGAUGACAUGGGGCAAUUGAAAUAUUUCAUCACUUAUUAUAUAAUAGCGAAUAAGAUUUUAAAGUCGAACAUAAUAGACAUGUCUAAUAUUAGAUGUGUCUAAUAGGGCUGUCACAGUGCGGAGGGCGACAGGGGCAACUGCUGCCGAGAAAAUUUAACUAAUUUUAUGUGAAUUUAUGUGGUGUUUCCACAAACAAAACUAUUAUAAUUUUAUGUGAUUAUAAUGAUUGUAACAGAUUAUGCAGUCAGGAAAUAAAAAUUUCAUGCAAACAAUAUUCGAAGUGCCUAUACAAGUCGGCAUGCAGCUGGUUAUUUAGUAAUCUGUCACUUGUCAAUCCCCAUACUCGUUAAAUUUUCAAAACUUUAUUGUAAUCAUAUGAAGCAAACGUUCUGUCACUUGUUGUUUACACUUGGCAAUGCUAACUAUUGAGUAACAUACACUUGUAAAGUAUUCGAGGAACAUGCAUUACUGUAGAAAUGAGUCAAUCAUAUAUCGACUAGACCACUGAAUAGUAGAGAAUGUUUUAAAGGUCAUGAUUGAAGUAUAUAAUUCAAUUCCAAUCCUGUGCACAGUUAAUGAUAUACCACACUGUUCGGUUUAACCACAGCAUAUCCACACAAAAACAAUUUGUGUUGUGGGAGAAUAUCUGUUUGAGUAGAAGGUAUCACAAGUUUAGUUUUGUAAAUAUAUUGUGUGCCAUUGAUCUGAUCCAUCCAUAUAAUUAUUAAAUGUAUUAUUGUAGCUGUUAAGUUAUUUUCCAUACUAAUGAAUUUAGGUAAGAUUGUCUUGCAACUGCAAGUGGCCAUUGUUCUGACAAAAUUAUCCAGACAUUAAUAUCCAGUCCAUUUAUUCAUUCUUGUAUCAGUCUCUAAACAAAAACAUUUAUGUUAGGGAGCAGUCAUUAUUAAUGCCUUUCUUCACUUAAAAUAUUUCAAAUAUGUAAUACCAAAACCAAAACAUUCUAUUUUAAUUGUUCUAUUUUAUACAAAUUCUAUUAUUUAUUAUUAGUUAUACUUUUUAACUUUUGUGAAUUUUAUUAUUUGAACAAUAGUACUAGAUGAAAUUCAGCACUAUAAUGCCUACAAUAUAAAGGUGAUUUUUGAGAAUUACAUUAUUCCCACAUAUUUUGUUUAUUGAUGUUGUGCUGCAAGUUACUUUAUAAUAGUACCAUGCAAUUCACUUGCACAGAUUACACAAUUUGAAAAAUGGCAAUAAGCAUUUUGAAACCAGACUGCCACCAAAAUUUCAAAAGCUGUCAGUGGGGUGUGGAGGAGGGGCAUGCCCCAAGGCUUGCACUUAACCAACAUUCACAUGCACGGUCCUGGGCAGAACCCUGAUUAGGUGUUGGUGUGCAUUGCAAUUCACAGCAAGACGUUUCUGUACUUUGAAAAAUAUUUUACGACAGUGUGGGCAUGUGGCCAUUGUAAUCCUCGCAUAGUAGGUGAUUUUGGGGCACGAAAGUCUGUCAAAACGCAACAUUGAAUUAAUUGGCUGUCGGCCUGUAAAUCACUUUUCAUAUUUCAUUUAAUGUUCUGAACAAUAUUACCCUGGAUUCCAGAGCCUUCGACAGUAAAUAAUAAAUUGAAAUGUCGCGAAGGCUCUGGUUCAACGGGGCGAUUCUUUGAUUAAACCGCGCCAAACACAAAACAGAAUUAGUGGUUUUAGUACAGAAUCCAGUGUAGAACAAUAUGUGAAAAUUGCAGAAUUUACGUGAAAUGCAUCGGGAGAAAAGCUUGGUUGCUAAAUGUCACCCCUCUCAACUUCAAAAUACAAACAUUUCUGAAGCUGAAGCAGAAAUGUGUUGGACUUUCAUGGUUGCCCAUGUUGUUUCCCAAUUACAUACUCUGUCUUGAAGGUAUCCAUUUUUCGUCGUAUGGAAUUGAAAAUGAACAAGAUGGCUAAAUUUCUGCAUGUCGAAUCUUCUCCAGAACGCAGGAACAUGAUGUUAUUAUUUCAGAAACUAUAGAUAUUGAAAUUUUUCAGGGAAGCACAUGCCAACUAAAACAUCCCACCACCUAUUGUAUAAUGGCCAUGUUGCCCCUUUCCAUUACAAUUUUGAUAUUACGAUCAAACAACCUUCAUACAAUAUUACAGUUACUCCAUGUGAACGUGUGCAUAUAGUGAGGGUUCAGAGCAAGUGCCUUUCACCUGUGGCGGACACUUCACGAAAUAUUGGGGGGGGGGGGUCAACAUGCAUGUCAAAUGGGGUUUCGGUGUCCGUUUAAGGCUCUAAAUUAUGCGAAUCGUUCAGAACAUAGAUCACUUGAUGAAAUGAAUAAAGAGUACCGAGUUAUGCCAUUUGACUGACAUUAGAUACUUUUUCUAAGAUAAUUAAUUAUGUCCAUUAGUGUUGUUUAAUGUACAGUCAUAACUAUCAAUUCUAUAAAUGGUUUAAAUAUUUUUAUCAGUAGAGCUGCAAGGAAUCCUGCACAGAACAAAACAGAUUGUAUAAAAUGCGUAUGUUGCGGCAUCAUUGGCAAUCAUUGCACAGUAUCAUAUGCUUGCUAUAUGGCUAACUUAAUUAGCUUAAGUUUUAUUUAAUAGUCGUUAUUUAUAAUAUGACAAUUACGUUAUAUGGGUAUAAAUUGUAUGCUUGCCACUUGCUCCUAAACAAUGCUUGUGAAUUGUGAUAUUUGGUACCAGACUUUAAUAAGAGAUCGUUGGUUCGUUAAUUCUCUCGUUGCCCACUCAUGUGAAAAGAGUCAGUCAUUAACGCUUUGCCGAAAGUAGUGCACGUGGGCUUUCUCCGUGUACUCUUAUGUCUUCCCACAGGGAAAGUUGACAGGGCCCGGGUUAUGAUAAGCUUAGUAGGUAUAGUCAAGAAAGUAAGAUCACAAUUGUUGUAAAGAUAAAAUAGUCUAGGUUAAGUAUAUAAUUAGAUUAGCGCGUAAUACUUGAUAUCAUAUAGAAUUUGCGCAGCAGAAAUCUUAUUUUUCAUCCCUGUAAUGUUGUUUUAAAUAUCCGCGCUGCAGCGCUAGUUGUACUCCUUAUAUUCAUCAUAUUUUAAAACAAAUAUUUUACUGCACUCUAAUUUAAUUUCGCCAGCAAACUGUUAUGAGUAUAAGGGUAAUAUGGCAUGGCAAAAGUCCAGAGCGUGCGAUAUUCAAGAAAACUAGGUGUAUCCUAGGAAUUUGCCAGUUUGGUUGGGGCGGGGCGAAGCUACGACUGGACGAAUUUUUUCAAUGUAAAGUCGAGAGUAACUAAUAAUUGAUAUAAUGGAAAAUUGUUUAUUGUGGAGUGGGGAUUGAAUUAGUGCUACCUUGUCCCAGGGCCACCAAGCAUGCAAAAAUGUUUGCCUCUAAUAAUGUUAAAUUACUAACCUGACUAAAUAAACCAUUUAAUUUAGAUUUCUAAUUUUUUUUCCAAAGUGAAGCAACAUGUGUGGCAUUUGGGCAAUAUUUGGAACCUCCGAAGAUAUCUCGGAUUAUUUUAACUGCGCCUUAAAAAUUGCUCAUCGUGGUCCUGAUUGUUUUCGUCUAGAGAGCAUACCAAGUUUUGGUAACUCAUGUCUGGCCUUUCAUCGCCUUGCAGUUGUCGACAGCGUCUACGGAAUGCAACCGAUGCGAGUGUUUUCCCUUCCCCACCUCUAUGUUAUCUACAAUGGUGAGAUUUAUAACCACAAAGCAUUGGGAAAGCAGUAUGGCUUUAACUACCACACCAAGUGCGAUGGAGAAGUAAUUUUGCAUUUGUAUAACCAAUUUGGAGGUGAGAAAACGGCGCAAAUGUUGGACGGUGUUUUUGCGUUUGUUAUUGUAGAUACAACAAAGAAGGAAAUCCAUCUUGGCCGCGAUACUUUUGGCGUUCGACCGAUGUUUAUGCUAAAGACGGGAGAUCAAUGUUUAGCAAUCUGCUCUGAAGUCAAGGGUUUGUUGAAGUUGCAGAAAGAUUUGGAUGGUAUAAAAUCUGUUAUCGAGCCCUUUCGUCCCGGCCAUCAUGCAGGCUUAUCUUUCAACGAUGAUGGAGUGGCAACGAUAAAGAAGAUGGCGCCUUACACAAGCUUGACCAAGAUACCAGAAUUUGAUUUCUCGGUGAAAGUGAAAAGUGACAUUAAAGAGAACAUUCGAGCACUGUUUACUGAAGCCGUUCGUAAACGUCUCAUGUCUGAUCGACGCAUAGGUUGUCUUUUAUCUGGAGGUCUAGAUUCCAGUCUUGUUGCUGCUGUGUUAGUGAAACUUGCACGUGAAUCUGGUAUAUCUUAUCCCAUCCAGACGUUCUCUGUCGGAAUGACUGGAAGCACUGAUCUUGCCGCCGCCAGAAAGGUUGCUGACUUUCUGGAUACAGAACAUCACGAGUUGGUUUUCACUCCAGAAGAAGGUCUGGCUGCUAUCCCUGACGUCAUAGAGUAUUUAGAAAGUUAUGAUAUCACUACAGUAAGGGCUUCAGUUGGAAUGUAUUUAAUCAGUAAAUACAUUCGUGAGGAGACAGAUACUGUGGUAAUAUUCUCUGGUGAAGGUUCUGAUGAACUAGCACAGGGUUAUAUCUAUUUUCAUAAAGCCCCCUCUGCUGAAGAAGCUGAUGUUGAAUCGAAACGUCUCCUAGAAGACCUUUACCUCUACGAUGUCCUUCGCGGUGAUCGUUCUACUGCUGCCCAUGGCUUGGAAAUCCGUGUUCCAUUCCUCGAUGUUGCUUUCACAUCCUAUUUUCUCUCCUUAACACCCUCUAUACGUCAACCUCAUGAAAAAGUUGAAAAGUAUCUUCUGCGUUCUGCAUUUGACGAGGAAGGUUUACUUCCAAACGAAAUCCUUUGGCGGCCUAAAGAAGCUUUCAGUGAUGGCGUAUCAUCCACCAAAGCUGGCGAGUCUUGGUACGAGAUUAUCCAGAAGCAUUGUACGAAGAUCGUGAGUGAUAUUAAGUUGGAGACGGCAGCAGAGCGGUAUCCAUUCUGCACUCCCAAGACCAAGGAAGCGUAUUACUACCGCAAAAUCUUCGAGAAUAAAUAUCCUGGGCAGAGUCAUUUAAUUCCCUAUAUGUGGUUGCCCAAGUGGUCUGAAAGCCAAGAUCCGUCUGCACGUACCCUGGCUCAUUACACUCAGGAAUGAAGUGAGACUAGAACAUGAAACAGUAGUUUCCUAUCUUAAAUGGCUACUGAUUUAAACUUAUUUAUUUGUAUAUCUCGUUCUAGAGUUAAAAUUCGUUGUAAAUGUUAAUAUGAUAAGCAGAACAUUGGGACAAAUGGCACUGUAUUAUGCAUGUCUAAUAGUUGUUAAUAUCCAUUAAAGGGCUGUUUAUAUGUGGCGAGCUAGCUCAGCUGCUUUGUUUUGGCCCGUCUGAAUAGUCUCAUGUAAGAACAACUGAAGUUCGUCUCGGGAAAGCGAGUUAGCUCGGUCUAAAAACAGCCCUAAAGAAAGUGGUUUCUACCAUUAGGAUAAAGAUAAGUUGUACUGUCGUGAAUAAAACAGAUGGUUGUUUUGACUGCAAGUCUCACAACAUCGCAAACGAUCUAAAGUUCCUUGAAUGUCCCUUUCAGCCAUAAUCCCAUAAUAUUCUUAUUCUGAAUUUUUAAAACUCGAAUAUUCUGAUUUGUCUCCUUAAGUUUUUGUUGAUCCACUUCAUGGAGUCUGUUGUAACGAUGACCGUUCUCCUGAUCUCAUCUUUACAAUUAGCCCCAGAUCGAGGUUCAGCGGGAUAUCAACGCUAAAUGAGCCUGGGACUUACUGUGACCUUUUUGGAAAGCUCGUUCUGGGAAACGCGGAUUCAGCUCGAAAGUAAAAGCUAUGCAAAUUAAUGUAUUGUGUGAUAUUGUGCAACACACCAACUGUGCCAAGAUGUGAAAUUUUACCUUUCUUGGAGAUUAUUAUUAUGAUGAUUAUUAAAAAUACAUGCUCCCAAACUUACUUCGUUACUUGACACUACUGGCCUUAUGAGUUAUGUAAUGCUAAUAGUGUUAGUUUUCCCGGAAUUUAAUAAAUCAAGGCUCGAGUAUUUAAA